GAUGAACGCUGGCGGCGUGCCUAACACAUGCAAGUCGAGCGAUUCUCUUCGGAGAAGAGCGGCGGACGGGUGAGUAACGCGUGGGUAACCUGCCCUGUACACACGGAUAACAUACCGAAAGGUAUGCUAAUACGGGAUAAUAUAUUUUAGUCGCAUGGCUGAAAUAUCAAAGCUCCGGCGGUACAGGAUGGACCCGCGUCUGAUUAGCUAGUUGGCAAGGUAAUGGCUUACCAAGGCGACGAUCAGUAGCCGACCUGAGAGGGUGAUCGGCCACCAUAGAACUGAGACACGGUCCAAACUCCUACGGGAGGCAGCAGUGGGGAAUAUUGCACAAUGGGCGAAAGCCUGAUGCAGCAACGCCGCGUGAGCGAUGAAGGCCUUCGGGUCGUAAAGCUCUGUCCUCAAGGAAGAUAAUGACGGUACUUGAGGAGGAAGCCCCGGCUAACUACGUGCCAGCAGCCGCGGUAA
rnacentral:rRNA from 1 species